AAGGUGGCAGUUUCUCCAGUGGCUGUGUUGCCAGAAGCAAUAUUCUCACCAGACAAUGUACAGGAUAUGACCUAGGCUGUGACAUCAACCACCCAGAUUUUUUUUUGGCUCCUAUCCAUUUUUCAAGCCCACUUCUCCAGUCUUCCCAUCAAUUCUGAAAGCUGGCUAUAGUUUUCCAGUAAGUUUCUUUUCUGCUUAAGUCAGCCAGAGUCCUCUUGCACAGUUGACAACCAAGAAUCAUGAGUAGCACUGUGAUAUUGUGUCCCCCUACUAUACUGCACUAACAUCAGAUUGUACAGUCAAUGGCAUUUACUGGCUAUACUCCCUGCUAUCCAGUUCACUGAUUUACCCUAGUAAAAUGGGUAGCACAAAGCAAGAAAGAAAUAAAUGUUUUGUGAAUGAAUUAUAUACUCCCAAUAGUAAUCAAAGUUGAAAAAGAAUACUUUCAGUGGAGGGCCACCUUGUAUUCCUAAAUACCCAAUGUCAACUCCUGCCAAGUGUGUCAAGGAACCAAUUAGAACUAUAUAAAUGAAUUUACUCUUUUCACAGAUUUACCAACUAGGGAUUCUUCUCACCACCUGAGAAACAAAUCACUUUUUUUCUUUUCUUUUUUUUUCCCCUGUGGAUGGAACCCAGGGUCUUUGCACAAGCUACAUCAUUUUUUAUUUUGAUACAGGAUCUUGCUAAAUCACUAAGUUGCCCAGACUGGGCUCAAACUUACAAUCCUCCUGCUAAGAGAAGAACCAAAUUAGAAAUCUACUUCAUUAAAGUGAGAAUUCUCCUGCAAUAAAAACAAGUCUAAUUAGAAUGAAUGUUGAGGAAAUCUCUCCUUGACCAAAGGAAUGCCCACAGAACCUUGAAACCUAACUCAAAUACUAUUUCCUGCAAGAAACUUUUACCACUCCCUGCCAGGAAGUUAGCUAUAAUUUCCUCUGUACUCAUGUAUCUCUAUUUUGGUACUGGAAAAUAUAUAUUUAUUAAUGUAUCUGCCUCCUCAACCAGAUCUCAAAAUCAUCUAAGGAAGUAUGUUACUAUCUCUAGCACCUAGGAUGGUGUUUGGCAUAAAGCAAGAACCAAUAUUUUUGAAAUGGAACCACUCUGUUUUGCUUUAAAAGGUGCCAGUGCAACUCUUAUGAUCCAACUUUUCUGUAAAUCUGAAAAUAUUCCAAAAUAAACAUUUUUAAAGGCACCAGGAGUAACUCUUAUCAGCAAUUUUCACACCUACCACACAUCAUGCAAGAAGACAUAAGCUACUAGACAGCUUUGCUUUGUGGUUGGAGUCAGUAAUUUUGCUUGCAACAAACAUGAAAAAAGAAUGAGCAACAAACAUUUGAGAUUUGGGUCUCAACACUAAUUUUGAUCAAGCUAUUUAACCUGGGCCUCAGUUUGUAAAAUUAGAAUAAUUCCUACUAAAGGAGGUUGCUGUGCUAUGUGUAGUACAGCAGUAUAUACAGAGUAUGUCAUAUGACACAUGAGCUCUUCUAGUCACUAUUAGUCCCCUUCCCUAUACUGUGUUCGAACUAGACUAACACCUCUCACCACAAAACAGACACAUAAUGUUCUACUCCCACAAGGCAUAGACCGUAAAGUUGUAACAUAUCGCUAUUAAACUAUGACUGUCUAUAAAACAAUCCCAUUUGUGUGUUCAGGGACUCCACCUUGCCAACAUGUCCUAUUCCAGAACUAUUGAAUGAAAUAUGCAAAUAGACCACUCAAAACCCUACACAAACGACGGGGGUCACCAGCUAUUGUCACUAAUCUACACAGACUAAAGUCCAGAAAGAGGGCAAGCGCACUCGGAACACGCUAGCUGGUUAGAGGAGGUCGUAGACGAACACCCUCUGCUGCCAGGUGUCCAGCAGCCUGGGUCUCCUUGCAGCUGUGCAGAGCCCAGUGAAAUCUCGAGGGGCUGAGGCUCUUCACUUUCAGACGCUGUGCUCUCAGUCACCCGCCCGCGCGACCACCCGCCCACACUAGCGCCGCUUAACCGAAGGCGAUGCGAGUGGCAGCUAUGCAGCUGGGGAACUUGGGAGUGACACCCGAGUGGGUGGGCUGGGAACUAUAAACUUAAAUCCUGGCAGCUUCACAGUCAGCGGAGUGCUUCUUCCAAGCAGGCAAGAACGGCCCCGAUUUAGGGGCAGGGGUGCGCACGGAGGACGCAGACAAGGGGCUAUUUUUGCGCUGGCAGAGGGUGCGGCAGGGGAAGCCGAGGCCCGCCGGGACCGUUGCCCAGGGGGGCCCUCGAGAGCGCUAGCCCGCGGACGCCGGGACGCGAGGCUGCCCUCGGGGCUGGCCUGCUGAGCGAGCAAGUGGAAGCGCACGGACGCGGCGGGGGCACCGAGACAGGACUGUGGCCAGCGAAGCGGCGUGUGAGAGCAGAGGCACCAAGAGGUGGUUCCCCAUCAGCCAGCAGAGGCACCCACCAACCAACCAACCUGAUAGUAGAGAAAAACAAUACCUUGGGAGAGAAGUGCCCAUUUCCUCAGCAUGCUCUGGAUCCCAUUGCUUCACAGUUCGACAGAAGACCCGUCCCCAACUUCAAGUAUUGCUGGCUGCCGGAUGCUAAGUGUGUGUCCUUUCCUGUGCCAUGCUUGAGCCCUGAAAGUUACCUCUGUUCCAGAGUGGAAGGACUGUAACCUCUUGAAAAAAUGACUGAGAUUCUGGACACAGACACUGUGCUUUGGGGAGAGAAGUCCCUUGCCUCCCUAUGAGUAGGGCUUACUGGGGGGGGGGGGCUGGGAUGGGGCAGGGAGAUCUUAGGAAUCAAGCCUCUGCUUCAGGGUUUUUUCUGUCUGCCCCACAACAGUGAGAUUAAAUUUAUCACAGCUUGUUCAGCCUCUAGCACAUAAAUGUAUCCACACUUCUACCUUGGGGCUCAGACAGGUUGAGGCAGGCACCAGGAGGAUAGAGGCUAGACCUAACACAGACCUCUGCUCUCCUCCUGCCACCUUUCCCAGGAGGUCAGGCAAGCCUUGGCUCUGGCAGUACCCCGGUUUGUUGCGAUACAGGUGCAUCCUGAAAAUGAGCUGGAUGUGACCCACGGGAGACUCUUCUGAGCCACUGGAAGCUGGAGCUGAUAGAGCAAGUGUCACAGAUAGCCUCUCUGAUGAGCAGCGGACAACAUCUGCCCGGUGGUGAUGGUGCAUGCCCUGGGGAGGCGGCUGUCAGCUGCGUCCCUCUCCAUCCUGGUCUCUGGCACCUACCGUGCCUGGACUGUGUUUCUGCACACCCCCCUUCUCUUUCUGCCUGAGUGGCAGAGCUGACUGGGCCGAGGCGGAGCCUGACCUCACUGUGAACCCACAGGAAGUGAGGGGCUCCCGCAAGCCCACUCCCUAUCAGCUUUUGGAACCCGCAAGUGUCUGAUGUGUUCUUGUGACCAAGGAUUUAUACAUAGCUCUACCAACACAUGGGGGAAUCCUGGAACAGGAUUAAACUAUCCAUCGUAGAUUGUGCUGAAGAUACUUGUGAUGCAGACAAAUCAUUCUUUUACUAGAAGCCAAACUCAAAAUUGGAAGUUUUCAGCAUUCCUUAGAUUAUACGUAACACUGGAGAUAAUCAGUGAUUUUGUGUGUUCUAUGGUUUAUUAGUUUAAGUCCUGUCCUUUUGCAGUAAGUUCCAAUUUGCUUUCACCUUGGUAUUAAAGUGUAUGAGGGUCAGACACUAUGCUGGGCACUUAAUGCAAUGAUUCUGCCGAAUCAUUGUGAAGCAGAUACUAUUGUUGCCCAUUUCACUGAUGAGUGAACUGAGGCAUGUGAGCAUUAAGACCCUGCCCUGGGGGCCAGGGAUUUAGCUCAGUGGUUUUCCCCCCCUGCUGCACAAGCGCCAAGGACCUGAGUUCGAUCCCCAGUACCAAAAAAAAAAAAAAGACCCUGCCCUGGGUCACACAGCAAGGAUGAGUGACCCUCUACUCCCAUAUUCCUAACCAUGGCUCUACUUUCCUAACUUGCUCUCCAGUUCUCGCUGAAGUUCCUUGCAUUCACUGUUGCAUGUAAUCUCAUUUGUGGGGGCCAGACUGAGAUGGGGUGCUCAUGCCAGGAACUCAGGGGCAGAUCAGCAAUCAGAGCAGAGCGCAAACAUGUAAACUGGAUAGAAAAAUCAGGGGGAUAAGAUUAAAAGCAGUUCCAUGAGUCAGUUCUAUUCUUCACUAAAAUAUGAUGCACUGUUCCAAAGCAUGAAUAAUUUUGUGAUGAUAAAAAUAACAUUUUUAAGUACUAAAAAUUAAGAUGAUAAUAAGAGUAGAAGACAGAACAAAUCAUUCACAACUUACUUAAAUUCGUUGCUUAUUUGGGAUGAGAGAACAACAUAAAUUUGAGAUUACGUACAAUCAAAGCAGAAUUCUAAAACAUUAAGAGUUACUGGUCAAACACUUGUGGAUUUUUCUACCGAAAAGUGAUCUGGUUUUUUUAAUAAAUAAAAGACCACCUCCUCCCUUUCUGCCUUACGAGAGGGUAACAUUCUAGAAUAGCAAAGAUUUUAAGAGAUACAUCAAAUACAUGCAAAGUGUAGACCUUCUUUGGAUUCUGAUUAGAAAAACCAACUUUAAAAAAAAGAAAAACCAACUGUAUAAUGGAUAUAUGGGAUAAUGUGAAAAUUUUGAUCACAGGUGGUACACCAUGUGUUUGUUGAUAUGAAGGAAUUACUGCAGUUUCAUGGUGUGUUAAUGAUACUGUUGAUACACAUAAUUGGCAGAGCAAAAUGCAACUUUAUAAUUUUAUUUUUUAUUAGUGUAAGUUUUAUUAGUGUGUGUAUAAUACAUAAUAGUUAUAUUUGUUUUAGGGAAUUGGUAUAUAGUUAUUAUGUGUGUGUGUGCAUAUAUAUUUAUAUUAUGUGCGUCUGUGUAUAUAUAUAUAUAAUUUCUUGAUCAUAUUAGAUUCUUUACCUCCCCCCACUCAUCCCCCUUCUUCUGAUCCUCUUCCCCUUAUUCAAAAAGCCUGCCUCUCAGUUUUCUACCGUCUUUCUUUUUUACUCUUUAAUUAAUUUAUAACCUUUCCUUUAGAGACGAGCACUUUUUAAAACUUCCUCAGGCUAGGGCAUAAAUGCUACCUGCUCCUUUCCUCACCCCAGAUGAACGGACAGAUUAUGCAGGACCUGGCACCAGGAGGUCAAAGUGCUAUUUCCUUCCUGCAAAGAAGCAGAAGAGGGCUGGGAGGGAUGAAGAAAACGGGGAGCUGUCUCUUGACUCUUUGUAUUCCCUCAUCCCUCUCUUCCUCACUAUAAAGGACCCUUGCACACCUGGAUGCAGUGAGAUGGUGAUCUGUGGUGGUCUGAGCCCCUCCAUCUCCUCCAAGCUAGCUUUGAAUAAAGCCUUUUUUUCCUUUCUCCAAAAAUGGCCUUCUGUGGUUCAUCUGGGAGACACAAGCAAAGGACCAGAUCUAUGGCCUGAGCAAUGGGUAACAAUGUCUUCAUGGUAUGUAUAAAUCACCCACAGAUGAAAUUAGGCAAUGUCUGAUUCACUUUAGAAUAUUUCAAGAGCUGAGGGGGGGCUUUUGCUGAAACAAGGUGGGCCCUGAGUUGAUACUUGGUGGAACUGGCUAACAGGUCCAUGGAGACUCAUAUUCAUUUGUCCACUUUUGUACACGUUUGAAACUUUCCACUAAACCAAGAGAGCAGGGCAAGGGGUCAGACUGAGCAGGCAGUGGUCACCACUCCUGC